CAAGAAACACCUCCUCCCUCCUCCUCCCUCCUCCUCCAGUAGACUCCAGCCAGGGUCAAUUUCAAUGUGAAGUGUUAACAAAAGCCAACGUGUCAUCAGGGGCCCACAGAGGCAGCCUGUAGGUUUAACAGGAUUUCAGUCAUCAAGGCCUUUUGUUCCACACACGCACAACAAUCCCGGCCACUGUCCCCCAACCCCCACGCCGCCUCGCCUCCAUUACUGUAUACCCCGAGCACACUCACACACCAGGGGGAGAGCAGCAUUUGGCCCCCGCUGAUCCGUCCACUCCGAGCACCGCCUGGCAGACGAGCUGGUGCCUGAGUUCACCGAGGUUCAAGGCUUCGACCUGCAGCUUAUCAGUGUGAUUAGUGUGUGUGUGUGUGUGUGUGUGUGUGUGUGUGGGGAGGGGGGUUAACAGAAGAAUGGGCACAAUUCCACCACACCGCUGGUUUGUAUUUCUGACGUUGCAAGCUGAGAUAAUGUAGACACCCACUUGUUAAGAGGUAUGGUAACGCGUGUGUGAGCACAGAGCUCUCCCUCCUAAUGAAGAGCUCCCCUCACUUGCCGCCUCUCAGCCCGAAAAAACUCUCAGAAGUCACUUGAAAGUCUGCUGAAACGCGAGCGGCAAGGUCAGCCUUUGACUCGGUGUAAAACCUCGAAUGAUGAAACGGGUUAUCGGGAAACGGCCAAGAGGAAAGUGUCUGAGGAGCGGAGCGUGAGAGAGGUCACACCAUCAGGACGCGUUUCAUUUUAAAGGAGCGAUAUGUAGUUUAAGGAAAGACAUUUUAAUCAGGAGAGAAAGAUCUUCGCUGAGCGUGAGGAGCUGUCUUUGUUUGACUGACUGAAUAAACAAACUGACCUUAAAGAACGA